rnacentral:lncRNA from 1 species
AUUAUGAGAUAUGCAAAUUUUAGUUUAUUAUAACUUCUAUUAGAAUUAUUGCAAUCGAGUCUCACAGUCUAAUUUAGUUAACUAAAUAUUAAUUAAUCACUAUGCAAAAACGAUAUAGCAUUUUAAUCAUUUGCGUAUUAGCACUACUAUGUCAUUUCUAUGUUACUAAUGCAUCAAUAUUUUAUCAACUAAAUUAGGUUACAAGACGUGAUUGUAUCAAUUUUAAAAGUUCGAGUUAAAAAUUAUAAUGCAUUAAAGUUUAAGAAUCAAAGUGACGCUCAUCUUAUAAUUUGAGAACAAAACAU